GACGAACGCUUGCGGCGUGCUUAACACAUGCAAGUCGAACGGAAAGGCCCUGCUUUUGUGGGGUGCUCGAGUGGCGAACGGGUGAGUAACACGUGAGUAACCUGCCCUUGACUUUGGGAUAACUUCAGGAAACUGGGGCUAAUACCGGAUAGGAGCUCCUGCUGCAUGGUGGGGGUUGAAAAGUUUCGGCGGUUGGGGAUGGACUCGCGGCUUAUCAGCUUGUUGGUGGGGUAGUGGCUUACCAAGGCUUUGACGGGUAGCCGGCCUGAGAGGGUGACCGGCCACAUUGGGACUGAGAUACGGCCCAGACUCCUACGGGAGGCAGCAGUGGGGAAUAUUGCACAAUGGGCGGAAGCCUGAUGCAGCAACGCCGCGUGCGGGAUGACGGCCUUCGGGUUGUAAACCGCUUUCGCCUGUGACGAAGCGUGAGUGACGGUAAUGGGUAAAGAAGCACCGGCUAACUACGUGCCAGCAGCCGCGGUGAUACGUAGGGUGCGAGCGUUGUCCGGAUUUAUUGGGCGUAAAGGGCUCGUAGGUGGUUGAUCGCGUCGGAAGUGUAAUCUUGGGGCUUAACCCUGAGCGUGCUUUCGAUACGGGUUGACUUGAGGAAGGUAGGGGAGAAUGGAAUUCCUGGUGGAGCGGUGGAAUGCGCAGAUAUCAGGAGGAACACCAGUGGCGAAGGCGGUUCUCUGGGCCUUUCCUGACGCUGAGGAGCGAAAGCGUGGGGAGCGAACAGGCUUAGAUACCCUGGUAGUCCACGCUGUAAACGGUGGGUACUAGGUGUGGGGUCCAUUCCACGGGUUCCGUGCCGUAGCUAACGCUUUAAGUACCCCGCCUGGGGAGUACGGCCGCAAGGCUAAAACUCAAAGGAAUUGACGGGGCCCCGCACAAGCGGCGGAGCAUGCGGAUUAAUUCGAUGCAACGCGUAGAACCUUACCUGGGUUUGACAUGGAUCGGGAGUGCUCAGAGAUGGGUGUGCCUCUUUUGGGGUCGGUUCACAGGUGGUGCAUGGCUGUCGUCAGCUCGUGUCGUGAGAUGUUGGGUUAAGUCCCGCAACGAGCGCAACCCUUGUUCACUGUUGCCAGCACGUUAUGGUGGGGACUCAGUGGAGACCGCCGGGGUCAACUCGGAGGAAGGUGGGGAUGACGUCAAGUCAUCAUGCCCCUUAUGUCCAGGGCUUCACGCAUGCUACAAUGGCUGGUACAGAGAGUGGCGAGCCUGUGAGGGUGAGCGAAUCUCGGAAAGCCGGUCUCAGUUCGGAUUGGGGUCUGCAACUCGACCUCAUGAAGUCGGAGUCGCUAGUAAUCGCAGAUCAGCAACGCUGCGGUGAAUACGUUCCCGGGGCU
rnacentral:rRNA from 1 species